rnacentral:rRNA from 1 species
UCCGUAGGUGAACCUGCGGAAGGAUCAUUACAGAGUUCAUGCCCGAAAGGGUAGACCUCCCACCCGUGUGUAUCUAUACAUUGUUGCUUUGGCGGGCCGCCGUGAGGCUACCGGCCCUUGGGCUGGUACGUGCCCGCCAGAGGACCCUAAAACUCGGAAUGUUAGUGUCGUCUAAGUACUAUAUAAUAGUUAAAACUUUCAACAACGGAUCUCUUGGUUCUGGCAUCGAUGAAGAACGCAGCGAAAUGCGAUAAGUAAUGUGAAUUGCAGAAUUCAGUGAAUCAUCGAAUCUUUGAACGCACAUUGCGCCCCUUGGUAUUCCGGGGGGCAUGCCUGUUCGAGCGUCAUUUCAACCCUCAAGCUCUGCUUGGUAUUGGGCCCUGCCGGCAGCGGCAGGCCUUAAAAACAGUGGCGGUGCCCCCAGGCCCUGAGCGUAGUACAUCUCUCGCUCCAGGCUCCUGGGGGUCGCUAGCCAUCAACCCCAAUUCUUUCUAUGGUUGACCUCGGAUCAGGUAGGGAUACCCGCUGAACUUAAGCAUAUCAAUAAGCGGAGGA